rfam:Arabis alpina cultivar Pajares chromosome 7, whole genome shotgun sequence.
CCCGCUGAGUUUAAGCAUAUCAAUAAGAGGAGGAGAAGAAACUAACAAGGAUUCAGUUAGUAGCGGCGAACUAGGAAGAGCCCAACUUGAAAAUCAGAUGUCUUCGGCGUUCGAAUUGUAGUCUGGAGAAGCGUCCUGAGCGACGGACCGGGCCCAAGUUCCCUAGAAAGGGGCGCCGAAGAGGGUGAAAGUGUAACAUCCCGAAACCACCGUGAGGUUUUGAGGAAGACUUAGGAGAAAAAGGAAGAAAGCGCAUCACUUAGGAAUA